GUUUUGGCUCAUUACCUUUCUGUGGCAAAAUCUGUGUGUUCCAUUGUAAAGGAAAAUGGGCUCGUGUGGAGAUAACAAGCGUUCACAGUAGUCGUGCACUAGAUGUGCAGUUCAUGGAUACCGGAACAGUUGCCUCUGUAAAAGUAUCGGAGCUUCGAGAUAUUCCAUCACAGUUCCUGAGAGAAAUAAUCACCCUACCACCCCAGGCUAUGAAGUGCUGUUUAGCAGAUCUUCCCCGUAACAUUGGCAUGUGGACUCCAGAUGCUGUAUUGUGGCUGAGAGAUACAGUAUUAAAUUGUCCUGAUUGCAGCAUUAAGGUAAAUGUAAAUAUCUCAAACA